rnacentral:rRNA from 1 species
GACGAACGCUGGCGGCGUGCUUAACACAUGCAAGUCGAACGGUAAGGCCCUUCGGGGUACACGAGUGGCGAACGGGUGAGUAACACGUGGGUGAUCUGCCCUGCACUUCGGGAUAAGCCUGGGAAACUGGGUCUAAUACCGGAUAGGACUCCGGACUGCAUGGUCUGGGGUGGAGAGCUUUUGCGGUGUGGGAUGGGCCCGCGGCCUAUCAGCUUGUUGGUGGGGUGAUGGCCUACCAAGGCGACGACGGGUAGCCGGCCUGAGAGGGUGACCGGCCACACUGGGACUGAGAUACGGCCCAGACUCCUACGGGAGGCAGCAGUGGGGAAUAUUGCACAAUGGGCGCAAGCCUGAUGCAGCGACGCCGCGUGAGGGAUGACGGCCUUUGGGUUGUAAACCUCUUUCAGCAUCGACGAAGCGAAAGUGACGGUAGGUGCAGAAGAAGGACCGGCCAACUACGUGCCAGCCGCCGCAGUAA